GAAACCUUAGCUUAAAGUAAAGUUUCUGCGUUGCAUGCAGAGGAUGUGGGUUAGCAAUUCCACAGGUUUUA
rnacentral:tRNA from 1 species